CGGGUGCACUGAUCCAGCCGGGCCUUUCCCUCUGUGGAACCCCAUGGCCUUCACUGGCUGUGGUGGGGAAACAGGACUUUUACUUUGAAAAAAUUAGAGUGCUCCAGGCAGGGCCUAUGCUCGAAUACAUUAGCAUGGAAUAAUAGAAUAGGACGUGUGGUUCUAUUUUGUUGGUUUCUAGGACCGCCGUAAUGAUUAAUAGGGACAGUCGGGGGCAUCAGUAUUCAAUUGUCAGAGGUGAAAUUCUUGGAUCUAUUGAAGACUAACUACUGCGAAAGCAUUUGCCCAAGGAUGUUUUCAUUGAUAAGGAACGAAAGUUAGGGGAUCGAAGACGAUCAGAUACCGUCGUAGUCUUAACUAUAAACUAUGCCGACUAGGGAUCGGACGAUGUUAUUCUUUGACGCGUUCGGCACCUUUCGAGAAAUCAAAGUGCUUGGGCUCCAGGGGGAGUAUGGUCGCAAGGCUGAAACUUAAAGAAAUUGACGGAAAGGGCACCACCAGGGGUGGAACCUGCGGCUUAAUUUGACUCAACACGGGGAAACUCACCAGGUCCAGACACAGUGAGGAUUGACAGAUUGAGAGCUCUUUCUUGAUUCUGUGGGUGGUGGUGCAUGGCCGUUCUUAGUUGGUGGAGUGAUUUGUCCUGCUUAAUUGCGAUAACGAACGAGACCUUAACCUGCUAAAUAGCCCGUACUGCUUUGGCAGUUCGCCGGCUUCUUUAGAGGGACUAUCGG
rnacentral:rRNA from 1 species